AUGGGCAGGGGGCGGUGCGUGGGUCCCAGUCUGCAGUUAAGGGGGCAGGAGUGGCGCUGCUCACCUCUGGUGCCAAAGGGCGGCGCAGCGGCUGCCGAGCUCGGCAGUGGAGGCGGCGAGAACAUGGUGCGCAGGUUCUUGGUGACCCUCCGGAUUCGGCGCGCGUGCGGCCCGCCGCGAGUGAGGGUUUUCGUGGUUCACAUCCCGCGGCUCGCGGGGGAGUGGGCAGCGCCAGGGGCGCCCGCCGCUGUGGCCCUCGUGCUGAUGCUACUGAGGAGCCAGCGUCUAGGGCAGCAGCCGCUUCCUAGAAGACCAGGUCAUGAUGAUGGGCAGCGCCCGCGUGGCGGAGCUGCUGCUGCUCCACGGCGCGGAGCCCAACUGCGCCGACCCCGCCACUCUCACCCGACCCGUGCACGACGCUGCCCGGGAGGGCUUCCUGGACACGCUGGUGGUGCUGCACCGGGCCGGGGCGCGGCUGGACGUGCGCGAUGCCUGGGGCCGUCUGCCCGUGGACCUGGCUGAGGAGCUGGGCCAUCGCGAUGUCGCACGGUACCUGCGCGCGGCUGCGGGGGGCACCAGAGGCAGUAACCAUGCCCGCAUAGAUGCCGCGGAAGGUCCCUUAGGUGAGGACUGAUGAUCUGAGAAUUUGUACCCUGAGAGCUUCCAAAGCUCAGAGCAUUCAGUUUCCAGCACAGAAAGUUCAGCCCGGGAGACCAGUCUCCGGUCUUGCCUCAGCUCACGCGCCAAUCGGUGGGACGGCCUGAGUCUCCCUAUCGCUCUGCCCCGCCAGGGCGGCAAAUGGGAAAUAAUCCCGAAAUGGACUUGCGCACGUGAAAGCCCAUUUUGUACAUUAUACUUCCCAAAGCAUACCACCACCCAAACACCUACCCUUUGCUAGUUCAAGGCCUAGACUGCGGAGCAAUGAAGACUCAAGAGGCUAGAGGUCUAGUGCCCCCUCUUCCUCCAAACUAGGGCCAGUUGCAUCCACUUACCAGGUCUGUUUCCUCAUUUGCAUACCAAGCUGGCUGGACCAACCUCAGGAUUUCCAAACCCAAUUGUGCGUGGCAUCAUCUGGAGAUCUCUCGAUCUCGGCUCUUCUGCACAACUCAACUAAUCUGACCCUCUUCAGCUAAUCUGACCCUCCGCUUUAUGCAGUAGAGUUUUCCAGAGCUGCCCCAGGGGGUUCUGGGGACAUCAGGACCAAGACUUCGCUGACCCUGGCAGUCUGUGCACCGGAGUUGGCAGCACUCUAUGGCAGACAGAGGCCCUCUCCUUUCCCUCUUAAACUUGUGCAAGAGAUCGCUGAGCGAUGAAGUUACAGCUAGCAUCCAGGUCCCGGGAGGUGAAGAAGGAGACUUCGGCUCCAUUUACAGCUAGCAUCCGGGUCCCGAUUUAGAAGGAGCUGCCAAUUACAGCGCGGUUCCAGGGCUGAGCAAAAAGCCUGAGGAGCCAAGUGGGAGAGGGAGUAAAACUACUGAAUUGGGCCACAAGCAAAUGAAUAAACUGAACGACUCUUAACCAAA